rnacentral:rRNA from 1 species
AGUCUGGUGCCAGCAGCCGCGGUAAUUCCAGCUCCAAUAGCGUAUAUUAAAGUUGUUGCAGUUAAAAAGCUCGUAGUUGAACCUUGGGCCUGGCUGGCCGGUCCGCCUCACCGCGUGCACUGGUCCGGCCGGGCCUUUCCUUCUGGGGAGCCUCAUGCCCUUCACUGGGUGUGUUGGGGAACCAGGACUUUUACUUUGAAAAAAUUAGAGUGUUCAAAGCAGGCCUAUGCUCGAAUACAUUAGCAUGGAAUAAUAGAAUAGGACGUGUGGUUCUAUUUUGUUGGUUUCUAGGACCGCCGUAAUGAUUAAUAGGGAUAGUCGGGGGCAUCAGUAUUCAAUUGUCAGAGGUGAAAUUCUUGGAUUUAUUGAAGACUAACUACUGCGAAAGCAUUUGCCAAGGAUGUUUUCAUUAAUCAGUGAACGAAAGUUAGGGGAUCGAAGACGAUCAGAUACCGUCGUAGUCUUAACCAUAAACUAUGCCGACUAGGGAUCGGGCGAUGUUAUCUUUUUGACUCGCUCGGCACCUCACGAGAAAUCAAAGUCUUUGGGUUCUGGGGGGAG